UAUAAAAUACCCGCAGCCGAAAUCGACAGCAGAACGGUUCCGCCCGGACUCCUACGGAAGUCGGGCUCCGCCAUCGACAGCAAGAUGGUUCCGCCCGGACUCCUACGGGAGUCGGGCUCCGCCAUCGACAGCAGAACGGUUCCGCCCGGACUCCUACAGGAGUCGGGCUCCGCCAUCGACAGCAGAACGGCUCCGCCCGGACUCCUACGGGAGCUGGGC
rnacentral:lncRNA from 1 species